AAGUCGUAACAAGGUAACCGUAGGUGAACCUGCGGUUGGAUCAUUAAUAAAUCAUUAAGAAGAUGGUGUUAAAACACUUGUCUUUCUUUUUAACAACUUUUGUGAACUGUUUACUGUUUGUUUGGUAGGGCUUAUAGAGAAAUGAGGUUACUUAAAAAAUAAUUUCAUAUUUUUGAAAAUCCUUUUAAUUUUGGAUUUUUACCUACCAAUGUAUAAAUUUGAACUUUGUAGUAUUUAUUUUGUCUUGAAUUAAAAUUUAUUAUACUAAUUUUAAACAACUUUUGACAACGGAUCUCUAGGCUCUC
rnacentral:misc_RNA from 1 species